rnacentral:lncRNA from 1 species
CACGGAACCAAGAAAAAAAAAAAAAAAAAACAUGUAUAUUAUUACAAAAAGCAUCUAGCUAGGCAAGGUAUCAAAAUAUCAACAAAAUAAAUGCAGGUUCAAAUAUUGAAUGUAAUGUUAUGGCAGUUCUGUGUUUGUUUUUAUACGCCCGUCAAAAUUUUGACUGGACGUAUUAUGGUAUACAAAUGUCCGUCUGUCCGUUUGUCCAUUUGUCUGUCCGGCGUAAACAUGUCGCAUCGUAACUUGAGAACGACUCAUCCAAAUUUCAUGAAACUUAACAUAGUUGUUUUUUAUGAUAAU